UCUACUGCUCUGAAGUGGUUUAGUUAUAAAGUCUAUUCACCGGGUAUUAUGGUUCCCUAAGUACCGGUGCUUGCAAUACAAGUAUAGUGACCUGACCUUGUUAGCUUUAAUUCUUACCUUGAAACAGCCUAGACUCAUCUGAGAGCUGAGUCUCAACCAAGGAAUCGCUCAGAUUAGACUGACCGGUGCGCAUGUCUGGGAGAGAGCGCCUGAAUGGCUAAUUCAUGUAAGAGGCCCUGCCCACUAUGGGAGGAACCACUCUCUGCUUAGGCAAUCUCAGACUCUGUGGAAAAGCUAGCUAAACAUGAGUCUGAGCAAGCCUACAGCACAUCCAUCACGGUUUCUGCUCAAGUUCCUGCCCUGAAUUCCCUCAACAAUGAUCUGUGACCUGUGAACUGAGAUAAACCCUCUCUUCCCUAAGCUGCUGAUGGUCAGAGAAUCACAGAAACAAGAAGGAAACUGGAGCACGUCAGCGCCCACAUAAAGGUGGGAGAAGUGAGUUUCGGAUUUUCCACUAAGCCCCAUGUGUGUGGCAUGUGCACAACACCCCAGUAACGUUUACAACUGAACAUGUAAAAGGAACUACUCACACCAACUGUAAGUGCGCCACUCCGGCUCAUUUCCUGUGCCUGCAUUCCCACCGUUCUGGUGUUUGUCAACCUAACCUUUGAAAGAAGCUGGUGAAACCCUGGGAAAGCUGAAGGUUUGGCUGUUGCCAGCGCCACGGUUCCUCGAAGGGAAUUUGAUCUCUUCCAGGAGCAACCCCAAGGAGGUAGAGACAGUCACCAUGUUCCCAUCGGUUCGCUGGCCCCGCCUUGACAAGUUUCUUGGGCGUUCUUCUUCUGGGACUCACAAGGCUGAGUCUAAAUCCCAGCAGCGGUGGUGAACUGCUCCAGGCUCUCCCCUAUCCUCUAAACCAGCUUUGUUUGGUUUUUUAGCUCCACUGGAAUUCAGUGAGAGAAGGCCUCAUUGGGUCAGCUUUGGCGUGUAACAGAAAUGAGGUAACAAUCAAAAGGUUGUCUUUCUGAGCUGUAAUUCGGUGUCUGGCAGGAGUAAUUUGAGAAGAUUGUGUCCACUUCCAGAUGCAAAACCAAACAAACAAGGGGGGAGGGAGCCCUGCUGAGAGACAUUUUCACAUUAAAAGGUGCUAAAAAUGGGCUAGAUCUCCUCGCAGCCCUGUUGGAAGUCUCCAUUCAAUUUUUAGUCAUUUCCUCUCUGUCUGCUGACUGGUAGCUGACUGCCCAGGCAGAGGAGGAGGCUAGGCUGGGAGCUGCACCUCCAUGAUGACCUGUAACUCACGGAAGGGCAAAAAUGAAAAAAUAAACAAUGUUUGUCCUGGGCGGUUCCAGGUGAGAGCAGAUGGGGGCCGGAA
rnacentral:sRNA from 1 species